rnacentral:rRNA from 1 species
GAUGAACGCUGGCGGCGUGCCUAAUACAUGCAAGUCGAGCGAACGGACGAGAAGCUUGCUUCUCUGAUGUUAGCGGCGGACGGGUGAGUAACACGUGGAUAACCUACCUAUAAGACUGGGAUAACUUCGGGAAACCGGAGCUAAUACCGGAUAAUAUUUUGAACCGCAUGGUUCAAAAGUGAAAGACGGUCUUUCUGUCACUUAUAGAUGGAUCCGCGCUGCAUUAGCUAGUUGGUAAGGUAACGGCUUACCAAGGCAACGAUGCAUAGCCGACCUGAGAGGGUGAUCGGCCACACUGGAACUGAGACACGGUCCAGACUCCUACGGGAGGCAGCAGUAGGGAAUCUUCCGCAAUGGGCGAAAGCCUGACGGAGCAACGCCGCGUGAGUGAUGAAGGUCUUCGGAUCGUAAAACUCUGUUAUUAGGGAAGAACAUAUGUGUAAGUAACUGUGCACAUCUUGACGGUACCUAAUCAGAAAGCCACGGCUAUCUACGUG